GGAGGAGAAUCGUCCCUGGUGGGACGUCCGGACUUCAAAUCCGGGAAGGACCGUCGGACGGUUCUUGGUGGGUUCGACUCCCGCUCUCUUCC
rnacentral:tRNA from 3 species